UCAAACCUUCUCUGUGUGAAGUUUUCUGUGCUCUAGUGUAUUUUGGUUUCUUCCUGAGUUUGGACUUUUACGUUGGACCUUGUUACUUUUUAGACUUAAACAAGGUGUGAUAGAGAGAUGAAGAGACCAACCACAACACCUGAGGUGUCGUGUUGAUGAACAUGACGAUCUUUGUACCUGCUGGAGGUGCCAAGCUGGUGAAAACAGAAAGUGACAUUUUCUUUGGAGACAUCUUAUCAUUUUAACGCUGACUAUUAAAGAAAAUCCUUAAAGAAGGAGACUCAAACAAGAAAAAACUCUCAGAGAGGGAGGACGGGUCAUCAAAUAUCUAUCAACACACCUGGUGUGACAGCAGAGAAGACAGGCAAAAGCCCCAAAACAAAUCUAACAAACAGCUCAUGAGGAUCUCCACAUCCACUCAGCACCACCCUGGGCAGGUCCAGAGAAAGAGAGGCCGCACCCUCAAGGAGUUUGGUCCCAGAACCAGUGCUGUGCCUGGAUGUAAGCCCAAUGGUAGUUAGGGUUCAUGGACCAAACAAAGAACAAGGCCUUCUUGAAGUCUCUGGGCAGAGAGUGACAUAUGUUACAGGUGUUGGUGCUAGCGGAUUCCUCACACUACAGGGGCGGGUGGAAAUCAUCACAAAUCUAGUGGGAGCAGGAGUGAGCAGGGUUAGGAAAACAGUCACAUGCAGGGCUACAUUGAGGUCCUGCAUGGUGUCUGUAAAAUAGCCGACCGGGUUGAUAGUGAUUUGCAUAUUUAUUAAGAGGGCCCGGAAGAUGUGCUCUAACUUCCUGAGUAUCUGUCUUCUAAUCCUCCUGGAAAAUGUCAUUCCAGGCUGCUAGAAAGAAAGUUCCCAAAGAUCCCACAGAUCGAUGAACCUCACGAGAAGCGUUCUAAAUUACUUCCUGGUUGUGGAACAGUGGACUUCUUUAAGCUUGCUUUUGUGGAUCAUCCAUCCAGCCUACAUGUGUUUUUUGGGCCUGAACAAGUUGUACAUUUUGGUCUCCCAUGGGGUUCCAUUGGGGAAUACUGUGGGACAUUCCUACAAGCCAUCCCAUUCUUACAUAAGCUAAAUGAGAGAUGUGUCCACAUCCUUGGUAAGUCAAACAGUCAGUGUUGACCUCUAUCAGGUCUGUCCCUUGUCACAAUUCCAAUUAUGAUUUUAAUUGAUAGGCUCUUCAGACUGUCUAGUUUGAGGAGUGUGAAGUGGUUCGAAUGAAAGUCCCUUUGUCAAAGAUGAUUCCACUCUAAUAUUUAGCUGGUAUAGCAGGUUGAGUGAAAUGCUAAUGCCAAGAAUAUUAUCAGCCAGUGGAGGAAAAAGAGCAUCAACCUAUGGGUUUGAUUCCAUACAAUGAUUCUGACUGUUUACUGAGGGCUUGUUUCUUCACUACUGUCCAACCUUUGCCAAAAAUAAUGAGGGCACAGCAGGACAGGCAGGUAGCUCAGCACGGCUGUGGAUCAGUGAGAGAGUCAGUCAUCUCUUAACCAGAAGCUUGGGGGUUUGAACCCCAAGUUGCUCCUGCAGAGAAUGUAUCUGAAGUUUGUCACUAUUGUUCUAUAGACUCAGUAGACCCAUUUUUAUUAGGCUGCAUGAAUGAGUGGAUGUAAAAUACGGCAGCAUAGAAACUGUGUCUGACAUAUUUUGAAAUGUCCCGUGUGGGGAAUGCAAUUGGCGAUAGGCAUGUGUUCCCCAGCACCACAACAUGUUAACCCUGACAGCCCUAUCGACUCAACCGAACGCUUUUAACUCUCUGUGAUUGUCUAAUGGAUUCAACAAAAUACAGUUUCUUUAUAAAUUGGAUGUGUUCAGCAAUUUUAAGCAGCAAAAGACCAGACUGUAUUUUUAAAUCCUUUUGAAUAAAACACAACCAAAGUAACUGCAAACGUAAUGGAAGGAUGGGGAAAUGUUUCAGUACGUUGAUGUCAUGAAAUCACACAGUGAAACUUGUUGUUUCCCAUUGGUUUAGAAGUCUUGGCAACAUCAUGCUCCAAUCAAUACUCACUCUUAUUUCUA